rnacentral:rRNA from 1 species
CCUACGGGAGGCUGCAGUGAGGAAUAUUGGUCAAUGGACGAGAGUCUGAACCAGCCAAGCCGCGUGAAGGAUGACUGUACAAUGUGUCGUAAACCUCUUUUAUCUGGGAAUAAAAAGUGGGACGCGUCCCCGGGUGUAUGUACCUUAUGAAAAAGCAUCGGCUAACUCCGUGCCAGCAGCCGCGGUAAUACGGAGGAUGCGCGCGUUAUCCGGAUUUAUUGGGUUUAAAGGGUGCGGAGGCGGUUUGUUAAGUCAGGUGUCAAAGGUCGGGGGUCAAACGCAACACUGCAGUUGAAACUGGCAGUCUUGAGUUGGAGAGAGGUAUGCGGAAUGCGCGGUGUAGCGGUGAAAUGCAUAGAUAUCGCGAAGAACUCCGAUUGCGAAGGCAGUACACUGGAU